AACGAACGCUGGCGGCAUGCCUAACACAUGCAAGUCGAACGAGACCUUCGGGUCUAGUGGCGCACGGGUGCGUAACGCGUGGGAACCUGCCCUUAGGUUCGGAAUAACUCCCCGAAAGGGGUGCUAAUACCGGAUAAUGUCUUCGGACCAAAGAUUAUCGCCUUUGGAUGGGCCCGCGUUGGAUUAGCUAGUUGGUAGGGUAAAAGCCUACCAAGGCGACGAUCCAUAGCUGGUCUGAGAGGAUGAUCAGCCACACUGGGACUGAGACACGGCCCAGACUCCUACGGGAGGCAGCAGUGGGGAAUAUUGGACAAUGGGCGAAAGCCUGAUCCAGCAAUGCCGCGUGAGUGAUGAAGGCCUUAGGGUUGUAAAGCUCUUUUACCCGGGAUGAUAAUGACAGUACCGGGAGAAUAAGCUCCGGCUAACUCCGUG
rnacentral:rRNA from 1 species